rnacentral:rRNA from 1 species
AUGUGCCCAGAUGGGAUUAGCUAGUAGGUGGGGUAAAGGCUCACCUAGGCGACGAUCCCUAGCUGGUCUGAGAGGAUGACCAGCCACACUGGAACUGAGACACGGUCCAGACUCCUACGGGAGGCAGCAGUGGGGAAUAUUGCACAAUGGGCGCAAGCCUGAUGCAGCCAUGCCGCGUGUAUGAAGAAGGCCUUCGGGUUGUAAAGUACUUUCAGCGGGGAGGAAGGGAGUAAAGUUAAUACCUUUGCUCAUUGACGUUACCCGCAGAAGAAGCACCGGCUAACUCCGUGCCAGCAGCCGCGGUAAUACGGAGGGUGCAAGCGUUAAUCGGAAUUACUGGGCGUAAAGCGCACGCAGGCGGUUUGUUAAGUCAGAUGUGAA